rnacentral:hammerhead_ribozyme from 1 species
ACACUACUGAGGAGUCCUAUACUAGGACGAAAUGCCCGUCCAGUAU